rnacentral:lncRNA from 1 species
AGGUGAUAUUAAGGCUGUAGGAAUUCUGCUGAACAGUAUCUCCAGGGAAAAUACAAAGCAGCCAACUAAGUGUCAUUGGUUUGUCAAGAUGCCUUACUGCAAUAAAAGAUCAAUAUGAAGCAGCAGCAAAUGGGGACUUUACUGUAGAAGACUGGAUUCAGAAGAAGAGUUACUAAGGAACUGGAGCUAACACUCUCACCGACUUCCCUGGGAAUCAUCUCCUCCCCCCAGGGUUCUGUGUUCUCAUAAAUACUUGCCUCUGCAGCAAGAGGAGACUGCCGUUCCUUUAGUCUCUGCUCUUCCUUCACUCGUGCUUUGCUCUCUCCUGCUAGCGCUCAGUGGGUUGGCCAGCUUGUUGGGAGGCCUGACUUUGGCAGCCACCCAAACCCAGUCCUCCCAGCAGCAAAGCAGCCCUGGCUCCCCUGUCCCGCGAGCAGUGUGCGAGGUACUGCGAGGGUGCCAGCAGGGCCCGCACGGAGCGGGGAGAGGCGACCGGGGGUGUUGCGUGCUGCUUGCAGAACUCGUGCACAGAAGCUCUGCAACGGAGUUUUCUUCCCCGUUGGGCUCAGUCCUGCAGAGAAACAUCCCAGGCCUCUGUCGGCACCACGGAGGGUGGCAGAAGCCAUGAGGUCCUCGCUGCUGCUGUUGGCACCAAGAAGGGAAAACGCUGCCAGAAGACUGUCUUGUGUGAACAGCGGCAAUGGCCUAAGGAGAUGAUAGCAAAAGAUGAUGUUGACACAUGCUGAUUUUAAAUGAAUUAAAGA